rnacentral:rRNA from 1 species
UACGUAGGUGGCAGCGUUGUCCGGAAUUAUUGGGCGUAAAGCGCGCGCAGGCGGUCCUUUAAGUCUGAUGUGAAAGCCCACGGCUCAACCGUGGAGGGUCAUUGGAAACUGGAGGACUUGAGUACAGAAGAGGAAAGCGGAAUUCCACGUGUAGCGGUGAAAUGCGUAGAGAGUGUGGAGGAACACCAGUGGCGAAGGCGGCUUUCUGGUCUGUAACUGACGCUGAGGCGCGAAAGCGUGGGGAGCAAACAGG